rnacentral:rRNA from 1 species
GUGGGGAAUCUUCCGCAAUGGACGAAAGUCUGACGGAGCAACGCCGCGUGAACGAUGACGGCCUUCGGGUUGUAAAGUUCUGUUAUACGGGACGAAUGGUACGACGGUCAAUACCCGUCGUAAGUGACGGUACCGUAAGAGAAAGCCACGGUUAACUACGUGCCAGCAGCCGCGGUAAUACGUAGGUGGCAAGCGUUGUCCGGAAUUAUUGGGCGUAAAGGGCGCGCAGGCGGCGUCGUAAGUCGGUCUUAAAAGUGCGGGGCUUAACCCCGUGAGGGGACCGAAACUGCGAUGCUAGAGUAUCGGAGAGGAAAGCGGAAUUCCUAGUGUAGCGGUGAAAUGCGUAGAUAUUAGGAGGAACACCAGUGGCGAAAGCGGCUUUCUGGACGACAACUGACGCUGAGGCGCGAAAGCCAGGGGAGCAAACGGGAUUAGAUACCCUUGUAGUCC